GCGCMGCAUUCUGGCGGGCAUGCCUGUCCGAGCGUCAUUU
rnacentral:rRNA from 1 species